ACGCUGGCGGCAGGCCUAACACAUGCAAGUCGAGCGGUAGAGAGAAGCUUGCUUCUCUUGAGAGCGGCGGACGGGUGAGUAAUGCCUAGGAAUCUGCCUGGUAGUGGGGGAUAACGUUCGGAAACGGACGCUAAUACCGCAUACGUCCUACGGGAGAAAGCAGGGGACCUUCGGGCCUUGCGCUAUCAGAUGAGCCUAGGUCGGAUUAGCUAGUUGGUGGGGUAAUGGCUCACCAAGGCGACGAUCCGUAACUGGUCUGAGAGGAUGAUCAGUCACACUGGAACUGAGACACGGUCCAGACUCCUACGGGAGGCAGCAGUGGGGAAUAUUGGACAAUGGGCGAAAGCCUGAUCCAGCCAUGCCGCGUGUGUGAAGAAGGUCUUCGGAUUGUAAAGCACUUUAAGUUGGGAGGAAGGGCAGUAAAUUAAUACUUUGCUGUUUUGACGUUACCGACAGAAUAAGCACCGGCUAACUCUGUGCCAGCAGCCGCGGUAAUACAGAGGGUGCAAGCGUUAAUCGGAAUUACUGGGCGUAAAGCGCGCGUAGGUGGUUCGUUAAGUUGGAUGUGAAAUCCCCGGGCUCAACCUGGGAACUGCAUUCAAAACUGACGAGCUAGAGUAUGGUAGAGGGUGGUGGAAUUUCCUGUGUAGCGGUGAAAUGCGUAGAUAUAGGAAGGAACACCAGUGGCGAAGGCGACCACCUGGACUGAUACUGACACUGAGGUGCGAAAGCGUGGGGAGCAAAC
rnacentral:rRNA from 1 species